AGUGAAGCCUGGCGCUGCUGGAAG
rnacentral:piRNA from 1 species